AACGUCUUGUCGGGGUGCGUGUUUGUUCACUGCUGAGAUUAUACCCGUGAACCUGAUGCAGUUAAUACUGACGUAGGAAACAAGUCAUUAUUGCUG
rnacentral:ncRNA from 2 species